UGGCUGCAGCAAGGAAUAUUGCGCAAUGGGCGAAAGCCUGACGCAGCGACGCCGCGUGGGGGAUGAAUGCCUUCGGGUUGUAAACCCCUUUUCUCAGGGAAGAAUAAUGACGGUACCUGAGGAAUAAGUCACGGCUAACUACGUGCCAGCAGCCGCGGUAAUACGUAGGUGGCAAGCGUUAUCCGGAUUUACUGGGCGUAAAGAGGGUGUAGGCGGCUCUUCAAGUCGGAUGUAAAAUCUCCCGGCUUAACCGGGAGGGACCAUCCGAUACUGCUGGGCUUGAGUGCAGCAGAGGGAAGCGGAAUUCCCGGUGUAGUGGUGAAAUGCGUAGAUAUCGGGAGGAACACCAGUGGCGAAGGCGGCUUUCUGGGCUGUAACUGACGCUGAGACCCAUAAGCGUGGGGAGCAAACAGGAUUAGAUACCCUAGUAGUC
rnacentral:rRNA from 1 species